rnacentral:tRNA from 1 species
GCCUUUGUAGUGCAACUGUAGCACACGCGAUGCGAAUUCGAAUUGCCCAGGUUCGAGUCCCGGCGAGGGCA